AUACGGAGGAUCCAAGCGUUAUCCGGAAUCAUUGGGUUUAAAGGGUCCGUAGGCGGGUUUGUAAGUCAGUGGUGAAAGUUUUCGGCUCAACCGGAAAAUUGCCAUUGAUACUGCAGGUGUUGAAUUAUUGUGAAGUGAUUAGAAUGUGUAGUGUAGCGGUGAAAUGCGUAGAUAUUACACAGAAUACCGAUUGCGAAGGCAGAUCACUAACAAUAUAUUGACGCUAAGGGACGAAAGCGUGGGUAGCGAACAGGAUUAGAAACCCGAGUAGUCC
rnacentral:rRNA from 1 species